ACAUCCAUACCUCUAACCAUAUAGGAGCAUAACUUUAAACGGGGCACAACACAUAUUCUACAUUCUAUGGCCACAACAUGAUCUGUUUCCACCAUAGAUGUACGUCAGAUGAGUAGAAUCUUGAACUCUUGAACGGGAGCCAGCCCCUGCGUUUAUUUCAGGCGCAGUCAUGACAGAAACCCACAUGCGCCGAUUCAUUCACCUAGUUUCGUUUUCGAUUGGAUUACGUGUUACAGCUCUCUCUUCGCAUUUCCCUUAACUUCGUGGUUAUGGCUGAUAUUGAGUUGGAAUUGACUUGUAACAUAUGUUUGGAUCUUUUAACCGAACCUCACCAGUAUCCUUGUGGACACAGUUUCUGUCUUCAGUGUAUAGAUCAGCUAUGGAGUCGGCAAUCAUUUAACUGCCCAGACUGUCGAAGAACCUGUCCAGAUAGAAGAGAGAUUGUGAGAAACUUCAGACUCCAGAAUAUUGUAGAAGCAUAUCGACAAAAUGGAAAUACCCUGAACAUACGCCAACCUUUAACAGCAGGAGUGCAGCCAGGAAGACAAGACUAUUAUGGGACUCUUCUAGUCAUUUUACUGCUGCUGUUCAUUUCUGUGUUCUCUUUGUUACGGCUACAAAAUACAGACCAGAUCCAUCAAGACUCUCAGUCUUUGUCAGACUCGUCUCAACCUGAACAUGCAGACCAGUUUCAGGCAGCUGACCCUCCAGGACUUCUGUUCCUUCUCCUGGCCCCUGUACGAUGGCUCUGGCUGCUGGUGGAGUGUGUGUUCAUGUGUGUGUGGUGGCUCAUCUCCUCUCUCCUAUGGCUGGUUUACCAGUGUGUGUGGUUGGUGUUUGAGUUGGUUAGACUUGUGUUUGUGAGUAUUUGGGAGCUUUUUUGUUUGGUUUGUGGGCUCCUGAUCCAGUCCUUUAACAUUGCU